rnacentral:rRNA from 1 species
ACGCUCGACACCUACGGGAGGCAGCAGUGGGGAAUAUUGCACAAUGGGGGAAACCCUGAUGCAGCGACGCCGCGUGGAGGAAGAAGGUCUUCGGAUUGUAAACUCCUGUUGUUGGGGAAAAANAGGAUGGUACCCAACAAGGAAGUGACGGCUAACUACGUGCUAGCAGCCGCGGUAAUCUGAGCGGGCUGGCAAGGC